rnacentral:rRNA from 1 species
AAUAUUGGACAAUGGGGGCAACCCUGAUCCAGCCAUGCCGCGUGUGUGAAGAAGGUCUUCGGAUUGUAAAGCACUUUAAGUUGGGAGGAAGGGCUUUAGGUUAUUACCGUGAAGUUUUGACGUUACCAACACAAUACGCACCGGCUAACUCUGUGCCAGCAGCCGCGGUAAUACAGAGGGUGCAAGAGUUAAGCGGAAUUACUGGGGGUAAAGCGAGCGUAGGGGGUUCAGUAAGAGGGGUGAGAAAUCCCCGGGCUUAACCUGGGAACUGCUUUCAUAACUGCUGAGCUAGAGUACGGUAGAGGGUAGUGGAAUUUCCUGUGUAGCGGUGAAAUGCGUAGAUAUAGGAAGGAACACCAGUGGCGAAGGCGACUACCUGGACUGAUACUGACACUGAGGUGCGAAAGCGUGGGGAGCAAAC